GGGUCGGUAGCUCAGCUGGUAGAGCAGCGGNNGCGGACUUUUAAUCCGUUGGUCGCGAGUUCGAAUCUCGCCCGACCCACCA
rnacentral:tRNA from 1 species